CGAAUUUCAUUCCCAGUCACACGAUUAAUUAGUUUUAAGAUAAAAUCAAACAUUCAAGGCCACGAUUAAAAUUACUCAAAUACACUAUUAAAAUAUAUCACCAAAUCACAUCAUCAACCACGUUAAGAUAACAAAAAAAGGAGAAUAGAGUUGAGAAUUAGACCUCGAUAAAUCAGAUCUGAUUUUUUGAUGACAGUGACUUAACCGAAACUCGAUCGAAAUCCUCGAACAAAAAUUCUCAACAAAGAACCCACAAAUCAAACAAUCCCAACAAGAAUAACCACGAUCGACCCGACUAAUUCUUUUUCUAUUUUUGGUUAUUUCCAAUGGAAUUUCAUCGGAAUCGAUUGAAAUGGGUUAAGUUUAGUUGAUUUGGUCGACAAUUUUGUUAUUUUUGGUUGGAUUUGAGUUGAAAAUGGGGACGAAAGUGGAUGGUCGGUGUAAGUUAGGUCAGAGUGGGCGAUGUUUCUCGGUGGGUUUCAUCAGAUAACUGAAAUAGGGGUCGUAACUGCCCAAAUUUUGGUUGGGUUUUCCAGUUUCACUGGUGGAACGGAGAUUUUGGUGAAAUUUUGUCGAAAAUUUGAUUAGCAUAAACUGUUAUUCGAUCCUUGUUCCUUUCUCUUUAUCUCAUUUUCUCUCUCAUUUCUUCCCUUCCUUCUCUCACUGACUUUCUCUCUUUUCUUUUCUCAUUGUUCGCCUUUAUAUGGUUCGUCUCUGUGUGUGUGAGUAUUUGUUACUGUGAACCUCUAAUAGUAAUGGGUUUUCUUU
rnacentral:lncRNA from 1 species